GAUGUACGCUGGCGGCGUGCCUAACACAUGCAAGUCGAGCGAACCCUUCGGGGUGAGCGGCGGACGGGUGAGUAACGCGUGGGUAACCUGCCCUAUACACACGGAUAACGUACCGAAAGGUACGCUAAUACGGGAUAAAGUUGUUGGAUGGCAUCUUCUAACAAUCAAAGCUCUGGCGGUAUAGGAUGGACCCGCGUCUGAUUAGCUAGUUGGUGAGGUAAUGGCUCACCAAGGCGACGAUCAGUAGCCGACCUGAGAGGGUGAUCGGCCACACUGGAACUGAGACACGGUCCAGACUCCGACGGGAGGCAGCAGUGGGGAAUAUUGCACAAUGGGCGAAAGCCUGAUGCAGCAAGGCCGCGUGAGCGAUGAAGGUCUUCGGAUCGUAAAGCUCUGUCCUCAAGGAAGAUAAUGACGGUACUUGAGGAGGAAGCCCCGGCUAACUACGUGCCAGCCGCCGCCGUAA
rnacentral:rRNA from 1 species